rnacentral:tRNA from 1 species
AUCUACAAAGAGCUACCAGGUUGCUUAUCAGGCUCAUGUCCUGAGGGUUAUAGGUUCAAAUCCUAUUGCAGAUU